UCCUUGCUCGUCUAGUGGUUAAGAUAUGGCUCUUUCAUCUUGACCGUUUUCAUAACGAUGUGCAGCUAAGAUCGGGGUUCGAUUCCCCGGCAGGGAA